UAGCCAUUUUGUCUUUAUGGCAAAUAUGGGAUGCAGUGUAUGGAACAUCUAUAAUCUAGUAUGAGAAAUUAACGAUUUAAGUCCUUCUUAAAUGAGGCCAUUUACCCAAAGAGGGUGCCAGGCCCGUAUAACGUUAAUGAUUACUAGAAGGUGUUUCCAAAGAGUCGUGUUGCUUGAUAGUGCAGCACUAAGUGGGUGGUAAACUCCAUCUAAAACUAAAUAUAACCAUGAGACCGAUAGUAAACAAGUACCGUGAGGGAAAGUUGAAAAGAACUCUGAAUAGAGAGUUAAAUAGUACGUGAAACUGCUUAGAGGUUAAGCCCGAUGAACCUGAAUAUCCAUUAUGGAAAAUUCAUCAUUAAUAAUAUGGUAUUAAUAAUAUCAUAUAAAUAGUGUGCAAUUUUUCCAUAUAAGGACAUUGUAAUCUGUUAAUGUCAUAAAUAUUUAUUAAAAGAUCCUUUGCUCCAGUUUAUUUAAAUUAGUUAUUUUCGGAUUUCUAACAUAGAAUAAAGGCAUUGGAUUUGAUAAAUCAUUGACAGAUAUAAUUAUAUAAUGUGCUUAAAUUCUACGGAAUUUUACAAUGAUGAGUAAUUCUUUUGAAUUAUUUGUUUAUAUUGUAUGCACUAUUAUGAUUAACAAUGCGAUAGAUUCAGGAUACCUUCGGGACCCGUCUUGAAACACGGACCAAGGAGUCUAACAUAUGUGCAAGUCAUUGGGUGUAAAACCUAAUGGCAUAAUUAACUUAACUGUUUAUAUGGGAUUAGUUUAUAUUUUAUAAUGGAAUAUGAAUUCAAUCCCGGGGCGUUCUAUACAGUUAUGUAUAAUAAUAUUUAUAUUAUUUAUGCCUCUAACUAGAGCGUACCUUGAGCACAUAUGCUGUGACCCGAAAGAUGGUGAACUAUACUUGAUCAGGUUGAAGUCAGGGGAAACCCUGAUGGAAGACCGAAACAGUUCUGACGUGCAAAUCGAUUGUCAGAAUUGAGUAUAGGGGCGAA
rnacentral:rRNA from 1 species